UGGAGUAAAAAUUUCUCUGCGAUUUGUUCCAAAUUCGUGUGAAAAUGCCCGCAAAGAAGGAUUCGAGCAAGGGUGCCAAGAAAGGGGCUGCCGCUCCUGCUGGGGCGAAACCGACCGCCGAUCCUGUGACUUCCGGAUCCACUACCGCUGCGGAGCCAGCCGCCAAGGAAGCCAAGGGCACCAAGAAGGGCAAAGGCAAGAAGAAGUAACGUUCCUAGCUGGUUUGGUGGCACUAACGUGACUAAAAAAGGAAUUACAAGUUUCCGCAAAGAAAACAAUAAACAAUAAUGGUUUAAAACCAUCCAAACUAAA